CAGAAGUGAGGCGCCCAGAGAAGUGUUCACUUGUGGCUCGAAGUCCAGGUGUGAUACUGCAUGAAAACCCCCCGAUUUGGCCAUCCAGAGCAUGGUAAUCAAGAAACGCCUAGAUGUUUCCAAAAAUGGAUUGGGUGUCCCUCCAAGUGUUCAUGAAAAGGUUGAAUUUCCUCUUGGUGGGGAGUUACAGAGGAGAUUAGCAGAUCAGGCUGAAUUAGGGCCUCACUGUGUUACCCAGGCUGGAGUGCAGUGGUGCAAUCACAGCUCACUGCAGCCUCGACUUCGCAGGCUUAAGCACAUCUCCCACCUCAGUUUCCCAAGUAUCUGGGACCACAGGGACAUGGAUGAAGCUGGAAACCAUCAUCCUCAGCAAACUAACACAGGAACAGAAAACCAAACACCGCAUGUUCUCACUCGUAAGUGGGAGUUGAACAAUGAGAACACAUGGACACAGGGAGGGGAACAUCACACACCGGGGCCUGUCAGGGAGUGGGGGGCUAGGGGAGGGAG
rnacentral:lncRNA from 1 species